rnacentral:rRNA from 1 species
GACGUAGGGUGCAAGCGUUGUCCGGAUUUACUGGGCGUAAAGAGCUCGUAGGCGGUUUGUCGCGUCUGCUGUGAAAACCCGAGGCUCAACCUCGGGCCUGCAGUGGGUACGGGCAGACUAGAGUGCGGUAGGGGAGAGUGGAAUUCCUGGUGUAGCGGUGGAAUGCGCAGAUAUCAGGAGGAACACCAAUGGCGAAGGCAGAUCUCUGGGCCGUAACUGACGCUGAGGAGCGAAAGCAUGGGGAGCGAACAGG